GGACCCACCAGAAGGUCUGUACGGACCCACUCAAGGGGACGUACUCAAUAUGUAUUAGGACAUGAAGACUAUGCUAUAGGGAAACAUAGACUACAUGGAACUCCUCAAGGACUUGUCGGAAUACAAGGAAACUACUCUGCCGAGUUAGAGUAGGACUCUAUAGUCUUGUCCGACUAGUACUCUUGUACUCAAAGCUACCCUGUAACCCUACUCCCCGAAUAUAUAAGGGUGGGAGGGAC
rnacentral:lncRNA from 1 species